GAUCUGGCUCAGGAUGAACGCUAGCUACAGGCUUAACACAUGCAAGUCGAGGGGCAGCAUGAACUUAGCUUGCUAAGUUUGAUGGCGACCGGCGCACGGGUGAGUAACACGUAUCCAACCUGCCGAUGACUCGGGGGAUAGCCUUUCGAAAGAAAGAUUAAUACCCGAUGGCAUAAUUCUUCCGCAUGGUAGAACUAUUAAAGAAUUUCGGUCAUCGAUGGGGAUGCGUUCCAUUAGGUUGG
rnacentral:rRNA from 1 species